UACCCCAUGGCUUAGUUGGCUGUAGCGUCCGACUGCUAAUCGGAAGGUCGAGAGUUCAAGCCUAUCUGUGGCAG
rfam:Sphaerobolus stellatus SS14 unplaced genomic scaffold SPHSTscaffold_120, whole genome shotgun sequence.